rnacentral:lncRNA from 1 species
UCAAAGUAUGUCUCUCUAGGUUCCUUCUUUGUUACUCUAUGAGGGUAGGGUAACUUAAUCACAUGUUUAGCCUCUUUUUAUUUUUCUCUUCAAUUGGAUUUACGGGUGGUAUAACUUCUUCAUCUUUAGCAUCUUUAUCACUUCUUGUCAUGACAACAUUAAUAUUCUCAUGAUUUCUUGGAUUUUGUAUUGUUUCACUUGGUAAGGAGCCUUGUAUUCGAGAACCUGCUAUUUGUU